AAACAUCUUUUCUUGUAAUUAUAUGAAAUAUGUCCUGCCCAAUGAUUUUAUUUAAUGGCCGCGGUAUUUUGACCGUGCAAAGGUAGCAUAAUCAUUAGUUUAUUAAUUGUAAGCUUGUAUGAAUGGUUUGACGAGAUAUUGACUGUCUCAUUAAUGAUAAUUAGAAUUUAAAUUUUAAGUUAAAAUGCUUAAGUUUAUUUGUAGGACGAGAAGACCCUAUAGAUCUUUAAUUAAUUAUUUUAUUAUUUGUUUGGUUUAUUAUUUGAUUUUAAUAAUAUUAAUUUUUGUUGGGGUGACAUAUGGAUAUAAUUAACUCUUAUUUAUAUUAAACAUUUAUAUAUGCUUGUUUUGACCUUUUAUUAUUGAUUAUAAGAUAUAGAUACCUUAGGGAUAACAGCGUAAUCUUCUUUAAGAGUUCUUAUCAACAAGAAGGAUUGCGACCUCGAUGUUGGAUUAAGGUUAUAUUUGGGUGCAGGUGUUCAAAUGUUAGGUCUGUUCGACCUUUAAAAUCUUACAUGAUCUGA
rnacentral:rRNA from 1 species